UGGGGAAUAUUGGACAAUGGGCGCAAGCCUGAUCCAGCCAUGCCGCGUGAGUGACGAAGGUCUUCGGAUUGUAAAGCUCUUUUUGGCGGGGACGAUAAUGACGGUACCCGCAGAAUAAGCCCCGGCUAACUUCGUGCCAGCAGCCGCGGUAAUACGAAGGGGGCUAGCGUUGUUCGGAAUUACUGGGCGUAAAGCGCACGUAGGCGGACUGAUAAGUCAGGGGUGAAAUCCCGGGGCUCAACCUCGGAACUGCCUUUGAUACUGUUAGUCUCGAGUCCGGAAGAGGUGAGUGGAAUUCCUAGUGUAGAGGUGAAAUUCGUAGAUAUUAGGAAGAACACCAGUGGCGAAGGCGGCUCACUGGUCCGGUACUGACGCUGAGGCGCGAAAGCGUGGGGAGCAAACAGGAUUAGAUACCCCCGUAGUCCCUGAGCGGGCUGGCAAGGCGCAU
rnacentral:rRNA from 1 species